ensembl:lncRNA
UAAUGUAUUAAACUUUUAGUUCAAUAUUUGCAAUAGGUUUGUAAAAAGUUUAUUUGUAAAUACCAUUAAAUAAGUAGUGCCUGUAUAAUGUCUUUUUAAUUAGCCUAUUAUUAUCGAUUAACUGACUGUGGUUUCAGUUUGAUACGCGCUCCGACCCACUCUUUAAAAAAAUGAUUGGCAAAGGUUUCAAAGCUGGCCAACAAUACCACGCAACGCCAUGUAGACGCGCAACACAUUUUUCAGUAGAUGGCGUGGACGCGCUACCAAUUUCUGACUGAGGUUUGCUAGACCAACUCUGACUGACUGACUGACUAUGACUUUGGGACAUUUUCUGCUGCCUUUUAUGAAGAAUACCUGAACAAGUUGAUCGCAACAUCAAAGACUAAUAAUAUGGAAACCAACACCAGAGGUUGGAGACUCCUGUGGUGCCGUGGACCUGAUGAGUCUGGUGUGUAUCUGAAAGAUUGCCACUUUAUCAUUAAGCAGCACUUUAUAAUAAUUUUAUGUCAUUACCUAAUAUUAUAUAGCCUAAUGCUGAAUAGAUCAGUAAUUCAUGAACAUGCAAAUAAGAAUGUAUGUAAAAAAUAUAAAAAAUAUUUAUCUGAAUAUUACAUUGUUUAAUGUGUAGUAUAGUUUAAAGUGUUACAUUUUCACCGUGGGUGACAUUGGGGGUGGGUGGCAGAUUAUAAACACUCACAAAAAAAAAAAAAAAAAAACACCUGUGUGUGUGUGUGUGUGUGUGUGUGUGUAAUGUUUUAUCAGAAAUAAAACAUUCCCUGGAAGAAACAUCACCACUAGUCCAAAGCUCCGUCCAUCCGUGGUAAAGACCAAAUUGUUUUCUUCACUGAGGUGAGAUAAAUUAACUGUGCCUGUUAAACAGUACAUUUUAAAACCUAAACUCAUGAAAAUAGCAUGUAUUACUUGCUACUUUGUGUGUGUGUGUGUGUGUGUGUGUGUGUGUGUGUGUGUGUGUGUGUGUGUGUGUGUGUGUGUGUUUAAGCAAGAUUAAUCAAGUAGAAUUUCAUAAUUAACCCACUGGCAAAAAUGUUAAGUGUACCAGCGUUCAGCUUAGUGUGUCAGUCCUCAACAUGUGAAUAAAUUAUUUUAAUUAUUUCUGCAUUUUCUUUUCCUAUAGUAAAACGUAAUCACCAGUGAGUUAAAAUUGUUUGUAGUAGUGUUAUUUUCAUCUUUAUUACUGAAAAUAUAUAUAUUGCAUUUUUUCAAUGUUUUUUUCCAAGUAAUUUUGUUGGUAAGAUUAAUGUUGUGCACUCUUUAGUCUGUGCAAAUUGUGUAGAAAUUUAUGAAUGAUCUAUAAAUGAACUAUUAAUAAUGUAGCCUAACUAAGAAAUACAUGCUUAUUGCUCAUGAGGUCUCCACAUCUAUCCUAUAUAGAUGAUCACCUUUGAUGAAUUGAGGACCAGCCAAACAUCAGAAUUCUUGGACCAACAUUCAAAGUAUUUAAAAGACUGGCAAGAUUGAUCUACUUCCCUCAAGCUGUCUCCAAAGCGGAAGUACAGUUACUGAUUUUUGCUGUCCACACGAUGUAUAACUUCUAAAAAUGGCUGGGUUAAAAAUAACCCUAUUGGCAACCCAGAGAUGAGUAAAUAUUGGACAGAACACAUGCUGGGUUAAAGUAACCCGGCAUGCUGGUUUACACAUUUUAACCCAGCAGGCUGGGUUGUUGAGAAAACCCAAGAUAGUAAUUUUUACCAUUUAUGUUUGCAUUUUUGUGGUUCUGGGUUAUUCUCAUAAUUUCGCCUAUGCUUAACAAGACAAUCAUGGAUUAAUAAAUAAUGACAAAUACAGGUUAUUUAGACUGUUAAAAAUGUAUUUUUAAUGCCAUCUGACAUUUACAAAUGUGUUAAAAUUUGUACCAAUGACAAAUGACAUGCAAUUUUCUUUUCUUUUUUUCCAGCAAAUGGAAAAAACAACAAAAAAACAGCUGCAAUAAAUAAGAAAAUUUGUUCUGAAUGACAUGUGUCUGUCUAACUGUUUAACUAUUACAUUUUGACGUUUAACUAUUUAAAUACACACUGAAAUGACAGUGACAAUUUAAAUUUAAAAAGACAGAAUGCAAAAUCAUUUAAAAGAUGUCCUAAAAUUUAUAUCAAGUAAAGACUCUUAAGUAGAUGUGCACUGCUUAGGGUAGUUAAAGGUAUAGUUCACCCAAAAAUGAAAAUUCUGUCAUUUAUUACUUACCCUCAUGUCAUAACAAACCUGUAAGACUUUCAUUCAUCUUCAGAACACAAGUUAAGAUAUUUUUCCGAGAGCUUUCAGACCAGGGUGAGUAAUUUAUGACAGAAUUUUUGGGUGAAUUAUCGUCAAACACUUAGAAAGCUUUGAAGCAAAGAUCUACAGCUGAGGGCAGAGUGCUCUGCUAUAGAGCCUGUCUAUGGAAGGAUAUUCCAGAGCAUUUUCAAAAGGAACUGCAAAUUAUAUUUUCAAUUGUAUUUUCCACAUGUGACAAAUUGUGACAUAAUCUAAACACAAUUGCAAAUCUUGCGUUACUGUUUGUGUUUUCACGAUUGCACAGUGAAUGCCAAAUUUCAAAUGGAAAAGCAAAGUCCAUGUAUUUUCCAUGUAUUAUGAGUAAUGAGUUUGUCAUACUGAAAAAAUAAGGCGUCAAAGCUUUACAGUAUUAAAUGGGAAAAUAGUAUGUAAUAAUGCAAAAGGACAACAGUAAAAACUCAAUUUUCAGUUAAAGUCAGUUCAUCAUUGAUUCAGUGAUUUAUCGUAUUAUCGAUUAACUGACUGUGGUUUCAGUUUGAUACGCGCUCCGACCCACUCUUUAAAAAAAUGAUUGGCAAAGGUUUCAAAGCUGGCCAACAAUACCACGCAACGCCAUGUAGACGCGCAACACAUUUUUCAGUAGAUGGCGUGGACGCGCUACCAAUUUCUGACUGAGGUUUGCUAGACCAACUCUGACUGACUGACUGACUAUGACUUUGGGACAUUUUCUGCUGCCUUUUAUGAAGAAUACCUGAACAAGUUGAUCGCAACAUCAAAGACUAAUAAUAUGGAAACCAACACCAGAGGUGAGAUAUUGUUUAAACUUAAGCUGCGUUCGUAAACCCGUCAUCAUGGUUAUAAACACCGGCGCGUGUGCCACUCACCAGUCUCGCAUCACUGUUUAACCUGUCCUGUUUCGUGCUUAAAGAAUCAAUUUAAUAAUGCAUUAAAUAAUGCAAUAAUGCAAAAGGACAACAGUAAAAACUCAAUUUUCAGUUAAAGUCAGUUCAUCAUUGAUUCAGUGAUUUAUCGUCCAGCUCAGUUCAGUUUAAAUAGUAUCUGUCGACGAUAUCGCUGGAUAUUAAGUGUCCCCUAAGCAAGCCAGGAACCAAAACUCCAUCGGUGACAGAAUGGAGAAAAAACCUUGGGAGAAACCAGGCUCAGUUGGAGGGCCAGUUCUCCUCUGGCCAGACGAAACCAGCAGUUCAAUUCCAAGCUGCAGCAAAGUCAGAUUGUGCAGUGGACUCAUCUGGUUCCCGUGGUCUUGUGCUGUUGGCCGUCUAGGAUACAAGGUCUUUACUGGGGAUCUGUCUCUGGGGCUCAUCUAGUUGUCCUGGUCUCCACUGAAAUCAGGGCUGUAGAGGUCCUCUAUAGGUGCUGAUCCACCAUCUAAUCUGGAUACUGGAUACAUCGGGUGCAUUUUCACUGUGUCGCACAUGUAACCUGUCAAAACUCAAAUGGAAUCACAAUUACUUUAGCAUCUGAAUUUCCAAUGCCUCAGGGGUAGGACCAUACUACGGGGCGUGUUUGUAUUGGGAGGUGACAUCACUCAGUGAAUGCUGUGCUUGAAAAUUUUCCUGCCAUCAUUGAUUGCCUCUCUG